UAAACAAUCUUAUUUAUACCUAGAAUAUGGCUGGGCGUUUCUACCUCGUACCGUAAAUGCGAGACAAUAAGGAAAUUCGAUUUU
rnacentral:ncRNA from 1 species